CGGGGACGGGUGGAAGUAAGUGUCGUAGGGAAACGUCGCCUGGUGGAGGGGGAUAACUGCUGGAAACGGUAGCUAAUACCGCAUAACGUCGCAAGACCAAAGAGGGGGACCUUCGGGCCUCUUGCCAUCGGAUGUGCCCAGAUGGGAUUAGCUAGUAGGUGGGGUAACGGCUCACCUAGGCGACGAUCCCUAGCUGGUCUGAGAGGAUGCCAGCCACACUGGAACUGAGACACGGUCCAG
rnacentral:rRNA from 1 species